rnacentral:rRNA from 1 species
AUCUAAGCAUGAAGCCCCCCUCGAGAUGAGAUUUCCCAUAGCGUCAAGCUAGUAAGAUCCCUGAAAGAUGAUCAGGUUGAUAGGUCAGAGGUGGAAGCGUGGCGACAUGUGGAGCUGACUGAUACUAAUCGAUCGAGGACUUAACCAAGUU